rnacentral:rRNA from 1 species
UACGGGGGGGGCAAGCGUUGUUCGGAAUUACUGGGCGUAAAGGGCUCGUAGGCGGCCAACUAAGUCAGACGUGAAAUCCCUCGGCUUAACCGGGGAACUGCAUCUGAUACUGGAUGGCUUGAGUUUGGGAGAGGGAUGCGGAAUUCCAGGUGUAGCGGUGAAAUGCGUAGAUAUCUGGAGGAACACCGGUGGCGAAGGCGGCAUCCUGGACCAACACUGACACUGAGUGAGCGAAAGCCAGGGGAGCAAACGGG